AAGUGGCAGAGUGUAGACACAA
rnacentral:miRNA from 1 species